rnacentral:rRNA from 1 species
GAUGAACGCUAGCUACAGGCUUAACACAUGCAAGUCGCGGGGUAACGAGAGGAAAGCUUGCUUUCCUUGUCGACGACCGGCGCACGGGUGAGUAACGCGUAUCCAACCUGCCCCCAACUAGGGAAUAACCUUGCGAAAGUAAGACUAAUACCCUAUAAUUUCCUCAGAUGACAUCUGACGAGGAAUAAAGAUUUAUCGGUUGUGGAUGGGGAUGCGUCUGAUUAGCUUGUUGGCGGGGUAACGGCCCACCAAGGCAACGAUCAGUGGGGGUUCUGAGAGGAAGGUCCCCCACAUUGGAACUGAGACACGGUCCAAACUCCUACGGGAGGCAGCAGUGAGGAAUAUUGGUCAAUGGGCGGAAGCCUGAACCAGCCAAGUAGCGUGCAGGAUGACGGCCCUAUGGGUUGUAAACUGCUUUUAUACAGGAAUAAAGUUAGCCACGUGUGGUUAUUUGUAGGUACUGUAUGAAUAAGGACCGGCUAAAUCCGUGCCAGCAGCCGCGGUAA